UACGAAGGGGGCUAGCGUUGUUCGGAUUUACUGGGCGUAAAGCGCACGUAGGCGGAUCGUUAAGUCGGGGGUGAAAUCCCGGGGCUCAACCCCGGAACUGCAUCCGAUACUGCCGUGCUAGAGGAUUGGAGAGGUAGCUGGAAUUCUUGGUGUAGCAGUGAAAUGCGUAGAUAUCCGGAGGAACACCGGUGGCGAAGGCGGCUUCCUGGACCGAUACUGACGCUGAGGCGCGAAAGCUAGGGGAGCAAACGGG
rnacentral:rRNA from 1 species